AAGACUUUUCAAGGAUCUAAGAUCAAAUCAAUGUAGUAUAAAAGAUUGUCGAACCAAUCCUAGGUGAUUCUAAAGCAAAGGGAAUGCAAGUUUAUGCUUAAGCUAACUGCGAUCCGGUUUUAAAGAUGGUAUGAACUAAGAACUAAUAAGCUAAUGCAAUAAAGUAAUGAUCUUUCUUUUCUCAAUAUGAAGCAAGAGGACUCAUGGGGCUAGGCAUUUGAUCUUGGGUGAUGUAGAUCCAAUCUAGAGGUGGCAAGCUAUCAAUCAAACACUUUCCUUAUGCCUAGACACUAAGCUAAACAAGCUCUAUCUCUAGAUGAAUGUUCUUUUGAUAAAGCAACUCAAGCAUCUAAUCUCUUAGGUUGAAUGUUACUAAAUCAAACAUGGAGAACAAGUUUAAUAGCAAUCUUAACUCCUUUAGCAACUAAUCUCUUAGGUAAAGCAAGCUAAAAGCAUUGAAGAGUUGGUUCAGGCAUUUCAUCAUACACCUUGUGGGCAGGAAAUGCCUAGAGAUUUAUUUUAGUAUAAUCAAGACUAAAAUAGCAUUUGGAACCCUCAACAAGCAAGGAAACAAGUAGAUCUAACUUUAAACACCCUAGAUCAUCUCUAACCACCCUUAAUCACCCUAGCCCAUGAAUCCAAAGAUGACUACUCAAAACUCUUCAUGAUGAGCCCAAGAAUCAAUGAUGAUUUGGUGCUAAUCAUGAUUAAUGACCAGAUUAAUCAAGCAAAUCACAAGAAGAAAUGAUCAAAGUAAGAUCUUUCACCUAAAAGUUCUUUCUUAUUGUGAUAGAAAACAAGAUAAGAUCCCAACUUUUGGAUUACAAGAGUAUUUAUAUCCCUUGGAAAACCUAAUGGUUCCCAUUAAAAAGUAUAAAAUGCCCAUAAAAAAUGUUUAAAAUCGACUAAGGAUAAGUCUCGGCUCGGGUAGGAGUCGACGGGGCAUACCCCGCGUCACACAACCCGCGUCGGAUGCUCGUUGAUCUUCUGCUUCAUGCGCGCGGGUAGUGGAACCCGCGGCCUUUAUCCCGCGUCGGACCGCCGAUCUUUCCUGCCAUGCGCGCGGGUAAUGGAACCCGCGUGGCUUCGUCCCGCGUGGCUCCGUCCCGCGUGGCUCCGUGCGCGUGGGUGAGCGAUCCCGCGUGCCUUCAACCCGCAUCGGUUACCCCUCUUCAGCUCCAUGCGCGCGGGUGAGUUAUCCCGCGUGCCUUCAACCCGCGUCGUACCGCCUCUCCAGCUCCGUGCGCGCAGGUGAGUUAUCCCGCGUGCCUUCAACCCGCGUCGUAGUCGGCCUGAACUCGAACCGACUUCAAUUUCUAUCUCCUCUUGGACCACAAUGCUUCUAAACACCUCCAAUUACUCCAAAGGAUGCUCCAAUACCUGAUUAAGACAUAUGAAUGCAAAAUGGAUCCUAAAGAUGCUAAACUCUUAUUCUAUAUGAUCAUUAUGUACAAAAUGGAAGCUUAAAACAAUGAAAAUAUGCAAGAUAUCAGUUAGAAGAUUUCUCAUAAGUCUUCCAAAGUUUGACUCAGCUCUGAAAAACCUGCAUAUCCAAAAAUGUUGAAAUGGCUUCAAAAAUAGAAAAUAAGUGGAAGAUAAGAUAGAUCUACCUUAAAGAAGACACAUAAAUACAUAUCCAAAAAAAUUAGAUCUACCUUUAAAGUAGUGGAAGAUGAUAACCAUGUGAUAAAAAUCUGCAAAAACUAGAUAGAUUAGUAAGAAAGACAAGAGAAAAAAGAGAAUUUGAUACAAAGUUCGGUGUUUUCAUGUUUAAAAAGAUUAGAGAAAGGUCGGAAAAUUUUAGUUUGGAAAAAAAGUAAGAGCUUUAUGCAACAAGAGGUUACUAAAUGAAGAAAAAUCAAACAUGAAAACUUACAAAAACGUACAUAUCUGUUAUGAAAGAGGAGACAUGAGAGAAGAAUAUGUCAGAAGUAUUCUAGCGCAUUAUAUUUUAUAAGACUUCCGAGAACACUAGUAAAAAUCUACCGCAUAGCCACGGUACUGCCACUGUAAAACCGUGGCUAUAAACAAAUAGCCACGACUCAGUCACGAAUUAGCCACGGUUAACAAUUAGCCACGAUUAAUCCAAAAAGAAGCCACAUAAUAGCCACGAAGCAAGAAAGUGGCUACGUUAGCCACGAUUUAGCUACGAAGUUUCCGUGGGAAGAGACAUAGCCACGGUUAUAGCCAGUAUUGUUUCAGUAGCUAUAUUACUAGCCAAUGUAUAGCCAUAUUUUUUUCAUGGCAGUGUACAAACCCUAAUUCAAACCCCCAAUUCUAUAUCCUAAACCCCAAACUUAAACAUACAUAUAAAACUAUAUAUCUAAUUUUUUCAAUCUUAUAAUUUAAAUCACAAACUCAAAUAUAUUUAAACUACAAAUAAAUUUCAAUGUUAAACUCUAAAUUUUAAUCAUAAACUCUACAACUACAAAUACAUUAUAUCCAAAUCCUAUAUCAUACAUUAAACCAUUAACAGUUGAACCUAAACCCAAACUUUAUAUACUAUAAACUCCAAAACAUUUAUACUUUCCAUUAUAUAACUUUAACAUUGUAAAUUAGAUAUAAUUUUCCAUAGUCCAACUCUUAAAUAUAACCAUAUAUCUUUUAAACUCUAAACCUAAAACAUUAUAUAUUCCAAAUUUCGUAACACAUAUACUUUCAAUUAUGUAACUCUGACAUUUAUAAAUGUAAUCAUAUUCUUCAAAUUCCAAACUUUAAGCUUAAUCAUAUAUUAUUUAAUUAACUCUAAACUCCGAGCUUUAUUUAUUUUUUGAAACACAAACUCCAAACUUUAUAUUUUCCAAAUUUUAUACCCAAAAUUAAAAAAAGAUUUAAACUUCAAUUUUUAUUAUAAACUAAAUCACCAACUAUUAAUUAUUAUAUAAUCCUUAAACUUUAAUCCUUAACACUUAAAUCUUUAAUCCUUCAACUUUAAUCUUUAACACUUCAUAACACUAUAUAAAAUAAAAACAAAAACAAACGUAAAUAACAAUCUACGCCCUAGUUUCUUAUUGGUUAAAAACAAGAGUGUUCGGAUAGCUAAUCUAACCAUUGGUUACAAUUAAUCAAUGGUCUAGAUUGAUUCUUUUUGUGUUUCUUUGUCAUAGGCCAGACAGAUCUAGCACCACACAAUUCAAUACUCUCUUUCAUGUCUCCCUCUUCUUUCACGUUUCUUCCCCUCCUCUUCCACACAAAUUAACUUGCGGUUAAGGGUGAUUAUGAUGAUGAUGAAGGUCGCAGAAGAAGAGAGUCUCCGUGGAGGGUGAUGACGAUGGUUGCAGAAGAACUGACUCGAUAUGAAGGGUUACUCGCCGUGAAGGGUGACUCUGGUCUUAAGCUCUUCGUCGUAGACGAUUUCAUCAACAAAUCAACACGAAUGAAGACGAACGCCACGAAUGGAGAAGGGUGAGAAGAUAGACGGCGACGGAGGACACGAGACAGCGACGGGGGACACGAGACGGCGACAGAGUGCGGUGGAGGAGGCAGAAGAUCUCCUGGUGGUUUGGUUGGUGGUGGAGUGGCACGACUAUCACCGGAGACGCGGGGAGAUGGGCUAUCACCGGAAGAAUCGUGCGGUAGUGCGUGCUGUCGUGGUCCGGUGGUGCUGAGCAAGAAAAAGAAGAGAAAGGCGGAGAAGGAGAGAAGACAAAAAGCCGGAGACACCAUCGGAGGUGGUCAGACGAGGACGUCGGAAUUUGCCGGAUUUAUUUGUAUUUUAUAUAUAUUGUUUGUAUUUUAUUAUAUAUUAUUAAAAUGUCCAUUUUGUUAUUUAUUUUUUUUUUAAAAAUUA